UAGCGUAGGGGCAAGCGUUAUCCGGAAGUCAAUUGGGCGUAAAGCGCGUGUAGGCGGUUCCGUAAGUCCGACUCGUGAAAGCCCAGGCUCAACCCUGGGAGGCGGGUGGAUACUACGGAACUGGAGUACGGAAGAGGAGAUUGGAAGUUCUGGUGUAGCGGUGAAAUGCGCAGAUAUCGGGAAGAACACCCGUGGCGAAGGCGGCUCUCUGGGACGGCUACUGAACGCUGAGACGCGAAAGCGUGGGAGCGAACGAG
rnacentral:rRNA from 1 species